GGACGCGUAGCUCAGCGGUAGAGCGUUUGGUCCACAUCCAAAAGGUCAGAGGUUCGAGUCCUCUCGCGUCCA
rnacentral:tRNA from 1 species